rnacentral:rRNA from 1 species
UACAGAGGGUGCGAGCGUUAAUCGGAUUUACUGGGCGUAAAGCGUGUGUAGGUGGCUUCCUAAGUCGGUUGUGAAAGUCCCUGGGCUACAACCCCGGACCUUGCAGUGGGUACGGGCAGGCUAGAGUGUGGUAGGGGAGACUGGAAUUCCUGGUGGUAGCGGUGGAAUGGCGGCAGAUAUCAGGAGAACACCGGGUGGCGAAAGGCGGGGUCUCUGGGCAGUGAACUGACCGCUGGAGGAAGCGAAACGUGCGUGGGGAGCGAACAGGAUUAGAUACCCGUUGUAAGUCCGAAGACCCA